UCCCAGCCGCCGCCAUCUCCUUGCCACUUGAGAAUUCUUCCAUCAGCAACACCAGCGUAGGGCCCUUCUCCAUUGGGAUCGAAGACCAGGCUCUCCGGUCCGACAGCUCCGGCGACGGGAACGACCUUUGCAGAGUGGAGAUGAUCAUGAGAUGAUGGUAAUGAAGAUGGCACAAAGAGAUUGAUGGGAUCCGCCAUGAGGAUGGAGAGGAGUGCCACUAGAGUCGCCGCUGCCACAGCUAGUGUCAAAUUCCUGUUCAUUGCUUUUUACCUUAUGGCUUUUUUAUUGAAUUGUGAUAGUUGGAGAGGAAAGAAAGUAACCUGAGAUAUCAGUUAUCCUUUUUUUUCUGGAGAGGAAAGAGAAAU
rnacentral:misc_RNA from 1 species